rnacentral:snoRNA from 1 species
AAUACGUGGUGUGGACAUUUUUGAAUUAACAUCUUGAAACUUUCUCACACCUCAUAAAAACUUUCUCCCUCUAUCUGUCUGAAAACAACGAUCUCUCUUCUUAGU